AUUGAACGCUGGCGGCAGGCCUAACACAUGCAAGUCGAACGAGUGGCGGACGGGUGAGUAAUGUCUGGGAAACUGCCUGAUGGAGGGGGAUAACUCCUGGAAACGGUAGCUAAUACCGCAUACCAUCGGAUGUGCCAAGAUGGGAUUAGCUAGUAGGUGGGGUAAAGGCUCACCUAGGCGACGAUCCCUAGCUGGUCUGAGAGGAUGACCAGCCACGCUGGAACUUCGACACGGUCCAGCCUCCUACUGACGGCACCAGUGGGGAAUAUUGCACAAUGGGCGCAAGCCUGAUGCAGCCAUGCCGCGUGUAUGAAGAAGGCCUUCGGGUUGUAAAGUACUUUCAGCGGGGAGGCGUUACCCGCAGAAGAAGCACCGGCUAACUCCGUGCCAGCAGCCGCGGUAAUUC
rnacentral:rRNA from 1 species